rnacentral:rRNA from 1 species
CUAUCGCUUACAGAUGGGCCCGCGGUGCAUUAGCUAGUUGGUAGGGUAAUGGCCUACCAAGGCAACGAUGCAUAGCCGACCUGAGAGGGUGAUCGGCCACACUGGGACUGAGACACGGCCCAGACUCCUACGGGAGGCAGCAGUAGGGAAUCUUCCGCAAUGGACGAAAGUCUGACGGAGCAACGCCGCGUGUAUGAAGAAGGUUUUCGGAUCGUAAAGUACUGUUGUUAGAGAAGAACAAGGAUAAGAGUAACUGCUUGUCCCUUGACGGUAUCUAACCAGAAAGCCACGGCUAACUACGUGCCAGCAGCCGCGGUAAUACGUAGGUGGCAAGCGUUGUCCGGAUUUAUU